rnacentral:lncRNA from 13 species
GGCCAUCAAAGCAAUUCUGAUCAAAACACUUGCUCGGAAGGUGAUGAAGUUUUCUCUCAAAACAAUAAAGUGACUAAAUCCGUUAGCAUACUGUGUUUGGCAUUCAUAGAAGUCCUCAGUGGCAUGCCUGGAUAUCCGUCUCGGGAUUUGGCUUUGCCCCAGAAAGCUUCUGAGAGGCUGUCUGCACCCAAUCUGCCCUCAGGAGAGGCCAGAUGCAAUUGUUGCCUCCUCUACUGCUAGCAGCGUUUGCCCUGGCUUUUCCUUUCUUGCCGCCUACUCUGGACAGAAGGGAUGAGAAGCAGGGGUCCCUGGGCUUGCAGAGCAAGGCAGGGCCCCUUGGUGGGUGGCCCAGGUCAAAGGAGGUGCAGUGAGCUCAGGGAGCUGGGGAACAUUGGCCGACACCCUCACGGAAGGUCUCAGACAUCUUUCUGGGGACCCCACCACACCUCACCAGACUGAAUCUCUAGCCCCGUGGGACCCGAUCCUUGCCCAUGCCGUCCGAUUCAAAAUCUACUGGGGAGAGUAGUCCGGAAUGCCCACCUGGCGGUCUGAAGCGCCCUCCCCCUUCAGUGGAACGGAACAGGAAAACCGGUUCAGGGAGUCGCUGAAGUCAGGGCGAUAGGGCUCCUGCCCUGCUUGUCGCACGCAGCCUCAUUUUCCGGAGCCGCCUCGGACACCUCCGCCAGCAUCUUCCCAUGCCACUGCUGCCAGCCAACCGGGGAGCGCGGACAUUGCGGCUGGCCGGCCAGGAACGCCAAUGCGCAUGCGCAAGCGGCUGGUGACAACCGCGAGGGCCCACCCGAGGCUCACGUCACAGUGACCGCCCCCGUGGCCUGGGGAACCGCCGUCUCAGCGGCUGGGCAAGGCAUGGGCCCUCCAUGGCAGUCCUUUGGCAUUGGGCAACGGCCCACCCCCGUCUUUCGGGAUCGUCGCCCAGGUCCCGUGAUUUCAGGAUUCCCGCAGGGUGGAGCCAGGCUGAGGAAAGCUGCAGGGGAGCUUCAGGGAUGCCCAGGGCGAUCCCCAAGGAUCCCCAGGAUACUUCAGGCCUGCUCAGACGCUGUGGGAAAUGCGUCUCCUUGAACGCUGUCCCUGCUGGGAAUUCCAGUUCUCCCAGAGAAGCAGAGGAGGAAAACAGAGCUUCGUUCCUGAGGGAGGAAAACAUGAGGUUGGAAGAAGUUACACACCUUUCCACAGCCUUACCUUUGAGAAGAUUUCUUUCUGAAAAUUAUUUCCGUUAUAUCCUUAUCCUGUUUUCUUUUAUUAGCUCUUGGAUGGCAGGAAAGAGUUCCUAGAGAGAGAAGACAAAGAGCCUUUGUGCUGCAAAAGAAACCCCAGGCUGAAGACUGGAGAUCUGAAUGUGCAACCUGCAAGGGAACUGGAGACAAUGAAACUCCUGUCAGGUAAGUUGGAUGCUAGAAGCUUGUGUGGAGGGGAUGAAGGUUCCGUGUUUAUGAUUUGCCCAUAACAGCAAACAAGUAAAACCAAACCGCAGGGUAGGACCUGCCAUAAAAUAGAAUUUAGUAAAAACAGUCCUUCAGAAACAGAUUUCAUCCACUGAUUCACCUUCCACACACGGUUACAGUCUCGACUUGUGUCCAUAAAAGUGAGAAUCUGCAUUUUUUACACUGAGAAUUAUUUUUCUCUCGACAGGUCAAGUUGACAAGGGGUCUCAGUGUAGAGGCCAUCAAAGUAAUUUUGGUCAAAACACUUGGUGGCAAGAUGAUGAAGUUUUCUGUUGAAACAAUAAAGUGACUAAAUCCGUUAGCA